GACGCACGCUGGCGGCGUGCCUAAUACAUGCAAGUAGAACGCAGUUGCGAACGGGUGAGUAACGCGUAGGUAACUGCCUGGUAGCGGGAGAUAACUAUUGGAAACGAUAGCUAAUACCGCAUACUACCAGCUGGACGUGCGUUGGAUUAGCUAGUUGGUGGGGUAACGGCUCACCAAGGCAACGAUACAUAGCCGACCUGACAGGGUGAUCGGCCAAACUGGGAAUGUGUAACGGCCCAGACUCCUAAGGGAGGCAGCGGUCGGGAAUCUUCGGCAAUGGGGGGAACCCUGACCGAGCAACGCCGCGUGAGUGAAGAAGGUUUUCGGAUCUUAAAGCUCUGUUGUUAAGGUAGCGGUACUUAACCAGAAAGGGACGGCUAACUACGUGCCAGCAGCCGCGGUAAUUC
rnacentral:rRNA from 1 species